rnacentral:piRNA from 1 species
UCUGAUGUCAGCCACGACCAGACUUCGG